CAACAAAACUCGGUCGGUUGGCCUACCUAACAGAUGAGAAGAUUCUCGAUCGAUUGGAUCGAAUUUUGAAAAGUCUUUCUCAUUAUUCAGAACAGUGGAGCUUUCGAUCAAGACGUUCUCGCCUCCCCUGUUUGGGCUCUCGCUCGAAUCGGAACCUUUAUGCGUUGGUAGGCUUUCGACUCAAUCGAAUAGCCUACCUAUCGGGCGCCAAUAAAAGAAAAAGUUUUCGCACGGGCUCAUCAUCUGAUGCAGAACUUAUUUCAUAACCACCAUCCAUCACCAAUCACAUUCCACAUCCCACUUCAAACUUAUCGAUUCCUCGGGUAGCCUCCUCUAUAAAAGAAAGGCAUUCCAGCUUCAGAGGCAGGUGAGCCGGGUCAGGAAGGAGUUUGACUGCUGGGAUGGGGUCGGAUCCUACUCGAAGCACUCCACCAUGAAUAAGAAUCUUCGGGUUGGAUAGGCAGUAGAGAUAGGAACUCCUAUCUGUAGGGCGGGCUUUCAAGACAGAGAUGCACUACUCCAUCUGGCUUGAAGACCUCGUGGAGAAAGAUAAGAAUCCCUUAUUUAUUUAAAGGUAAGGACUGAAGGGAAUAAAAAAUCAAUAGAAAAAAUCCCUUACCGGCCGACGGGACUCUACGUCUGGGUCUUAUUCCAUCUUAAACUCGGAUUAGGAAGAGUGCCCUUGAACUACAGAAAAAUCAUAAUAAACAAUACAAAAAAGAAAUGGAUUCUCCUUACUUGUUAGAGUAAGCAAGUCAACUACCUGCCGGCGAGAAAAAGAAAAAAGGCAAGGGGGAGAUAGGGAAGAGGAGAUUAAGGAUAGUCACUCCGCUCCAUAGAUAGUGAACACAGAUUCUUGUUUCAUUUUCAAUUCCUUUCGGGUCGAAAACGCGGGCGUGGGGCUGUGCCCAUUCUUUCUCCCUCUUCUUCCGCUUAACAACCGGAAUAAGGAACCUUAGAAUUCACCCUACCUGUCGAUGAAAAAAUAGGAUUUGAGAGGAGUGAAGCUGCUUGACCGAAUAGGGCAAGGAGUGACGGCUAGCGGAUCAGAAAGAUUUUUAUGGAAUGUCCUACUCCUGCCCGAGCUUUCCGAUCCACCAAUCCCCUCUUAUUUAUUCUUUUAUUUAUAGUUUAGGGACAUCUCUUUGUUAGGUAGGGCCAGGGAUCACUAAUUAGUCGAAUGAGCCCUCUGGCCUAUCAUUUAUUUAUUGGUCGAUCCGGCUGGCGGCUCCUGCAUCUCCUGCGUCUCCAUGGGGCCCCGUCAUACAAGUUGCUAGGAGUCCCUCUAGUCGAAUCAAUAAUCAAUAGAAGUCCCAAUAGAAGUUGACUGACCUGGCUCUUCAAUCGACGAUCUACUGUUCCCUCUUACUUGCAGAUGCCCAUGCUUUGAUUCGCCCUAGCCAGUGAUGAAUCCCCAGUAAGAUCGGAGUCUUUCAUUCCUCCUCCCUUCAGUCCAGUUUGAACCCGUCCCAGCAACGAAGACCUUCCUACAGCAAGGUGAGGCUCUGCCCUUCCCCUAGAAUCCACUCCGGGCUUUGAGGAAUGGGAGCAGCUAGUCCAACUUCUUGAGCUGCCGAGAUAUUGAACAACGAACAUUUGAGCAAGCUACCUUGCCUCACCCUGAGAUGAGAGGGAAGGUCGAUUUGACUCGAAUCCUGGACCUGAUCUUUAAUCCUACACCGGUUAAUGAUGCGAUGGGAUAAGUUUUUUUCAUUUUGCUGGCCCAGUCGAGGCUCGUCCAUGCCCAAUCCCAAUGGACAAACCUCUGAUCCGCCCCUAGCUCUAUAAUCCACCCGUCCCAGUCCCUGAAAGCCCUCCUAUCCUUGGCCUAGCCCUCUUUCUCAACUCGAGUCUUAAGUUCAGCGGCUUUCAUCAUUGACGAAGACCUGCGCUAAUAAGACAAAGAAGUGGGGAGUCUAUGCCUUUUCAUAAAACGAAAAGCUUUCAGUCCUUGAAUGAAUCAGUAACAACGAAUUCGUGGAAUGAGGGAUCAAGAAACGGAUAGGGAGGGGAAUGGCCUUUCCAUUAUUGGUGGACCUUCCCUUGAAUUGAACCGGUCACGGAGCUCUUGAGUUGUUUAGGUUCUGGAAUUCCAUGGAGAGUUGGGGGUUUCGGUUCGAAGGUUAUAAAAUGCGGUGCGGGUUCAUCUCUCUCGACCAGUUCAGGUUCAAGGGAAGGGUGAUCGAGGGGACCCAGACUUUUGAUCUCUUUCUUCUGCGGGAGGUUUCUUUCGUAUCAAGAGUGUGGUGGGGAGGCCAGGGAAAGACGGAUUGGAUCGAGAGGCGAUGCCUACUCUACUCGUUACCACUAAACGACGAAGCCAAGAGCGGAAGGAGGGACUUGAACCCUCAACCUCAGCCUUGGCAAGGCUAUGCUCUACCAUUAAGCUAUUUCCGCCAGCAACGGUAGUGGCGAAGCACUACGGAGCAAUUAACGUAUCACUUGAUACGGACGACUUCUUUUUUUCCGCCGGACCACACUCUUAACCUCCGAUCGAGCUACGAGCACGAGUAGGUAGGCGGGGGGAGGGGCGGCUGCCUUUUCAAUCAAUCUCCGGCCGCUCAGUGCCGCUAUUGGUGCGAGUUGUAAGGAGUCUUGGUCUCGAGUCGAGCUGGGGCGUCAUUUCAUUCUCGUAACGGGAGUGAGUGCACCGCAAGAUCAGACAAGUUACUCCCUCGCAGCGGUGGCAUCUGUCUUUUAAGUUCAGUCAUUUCCUAAGAAGGCUCCUCUUAUUAUACGAGAAUCCAAGCAGAUCCGGGAGCUGAAACAUGAGUGUUUGUCUCUUUUUCAACUUCAACAGGAAUGCAUCAACAAAACAGCCCUUCCAUAUAGAUCGUCGUGGCAUGAACUUUGUCAAAAAAUGAAUUUCUAGCUAACUCCUCUUCCUAUUGAUCUUGAUUAGUUUCAGCUUGUUGAGAGUUCUCUUUUCUUUCUAGACCGUCUCCUGAAAGACCUGCUUAUCCCGCAUGUGCUUUCGGAGCCCCCACUCAUUCAAUCACUUGCUUGUGAUUGCAGCCAUUCCCCGAAAAAGGGAGAGACGAGGGAAUCGUCCGCUCCCGUUCAUGUGACGAAUCGAACAUCGUUAGGUCCCGAAUUCUGCGAACCACCGGACCUAGACCAAGAUCUCCAUUACGUCGUACGAUAUAUCGAUCCGAAGAACUUUCAGUUGUAAGUCAUCCAUUCUGCUCCUAUCUAAAGUGAUGCUAGGCUGCUUCACGCAGGUGCGCUUCGCUCGGCCACAUGAUGAACAUGUUUUAAGCUAAAUGUCGAGCGCUUAAGCGGAGCUUGUGGUCACUCGUUCCUCGCUUGUUCCAAUCCUAGUAAAGAGCUUCAGAUCCGAUUCUACACUACAUACGAUAUUUCCGGCCCUCACUAGCUCUUCGCUUGGUUGUACAAAGAGCAUGCCCGAGGGGGCUACUACGCUCACCGCGCACUUGCAUCACCACCUGAGCUUCGCUACCGCUUCGCCCAGCUCCUACGCCUACCACGAAUCUUGAAUCAUCACGUGGCUGCUAAAGCAAGCUAAGCUUCACACGGCCCUGAGGAAGCCAAAAGACAGACCCUCUCACGGCCGAAGGCUCCGCAACACGUUGGAGAACUUUUAGAUCCCGCCCUAAAACGCCCAUUUUCCUAGAGUUCCGAAGUGAUCCUCAUUCUCACCGCAGCCUUCUUAAGCCGAAAGAAAGCCGGGCAAGAAUCGCAUUGGUAGUACGAAGGGGGAGCAGAAUCGUAUCUGGCAGUGGUUCUUCGGAUCGAUCACAGAUUCUCGGCCCCGUCGUUUGGCUUCCACUCCAGUUGACCUCUCUUGUUCUCCCCCCCCUUACACAACCGGGUGGAGGACUCAUGUAAACUUAUUCCUUUAGGUCCCCGUUCAGGAAGGCAUUUUGAACAUCUAAUUGGAACAGAGGCCAAUCUCGAUUCGCAGCAAUAGAGAGCAGGAGACGAACAGACUUCAUCUUGGCUACCGGGGCAAAGGCUUCCUCGUAAUCUAUCCCAUAUGUUUGAGUAAAGCCUUUACUAGCCCUCCUUUCUCCCACAAAGCUUCCCUUCACAACCAGUCCCAUAUCCAAUUAGUAGAAUUCGAGAUGGGGAGAGUCAAAAUGAGACAAAUGCGCAUUUCCUAUCUGAAUCGAGAGGUAUCAGAUCGAAGUCACAUAAGUCAUGUAUUAUAAUGAAAGUGAUUUCCGGGAGAACAAAGUGGAUUUAUGAGCAAAUUCUGGCAUGAGAGGACCAAUGAGACAGAACACUGUUGGAUGCAUUCCUUCGCUAGCAGGGCUUCGGCCCAUCUCAAUGGAAGAGUCUUCGGUCAGUAAUCUCGUACUCUCGACCGGCUCGAACCACUACGUUAUCCAUGUUCCGGCUCAUUCGUAUGCUCAUCCUAUUCAUGUCACCAGAACCUGUAAUAAACCAUCAUUUCAAACCAUCCUGUUACAGGGAAUCUUUGGAUAUCAGUUCGAAGGGAGCCCCGAAAAAAGGGGGAAUUUGAUCAAACAAAGUAUGUGCAGUAUGUGAUCGGAGGAAGGAAUAGAAAUACCCCUAGUAAUCUUAAACAACAAGGACAAACACAAGGUACAGAGACAGAGAGAGAGGCGCGACAGCCGCAAGGCACUUUUGCUUUGCUUUGAUUUGAUUGUAUCGGGAGAUGGGCUUGCGUAUUAGUUGGGUUUGCUUCUACCGAGGCAAUGUUCCGGAAAUUAGGUUUAUCUAAGCAACCGGCUGAGCACGAGGUCCCACAUUGUCUCCAUCAGCGGCUAGGAAAAAGUCUUUGACUCUUCUUCUAGUUAACCACUUUAGACUAUUCCUACUAUUCAUAGUUCUCAAUCUUACUUUUCUCGUCCAAGUCUUUUUUUAUAGUAUUGUCUUAUUAAGUAUAUAAAGAAUAAAGUCAAGCUUUCGGGAAAGGAGUGAAUGAUUUGAAUACUUCUUCCUCUUUCCCUUCUUCUCAAGCUCUGACUCUGACUGGCGCAGAGAAAGUCUUUCUUACGGCCAGACGACUUAAACACAGCGCUCUGAUCUCCGACCUCCUAGGACCCAAGCAAAGGAUUGACUUCGCUAACCUCAGCUUAACCGAAGUCAAUAUUCUAACAGAACUAUAAAGGGCAUACCUUGAAUACAGAUCAAGAUUCACUCAUGCACUCUGGAACUUACUUAGGAAAGCUAGCCUUAGCCCAAAAAUAAAGGAAGGCAGCCGAAAGCCCUACAAAGAAUAUCGCUUAUGAACAGGCCCAGGGGUUGUCAGUUGAGAAGGAAGUCUUUAUUGAAUUGAUCAUAGAAAAAAAAGAGAGAAAUGGAAUCGGUUGUUUAAGUCGGAAGAUCAGAUGUUUUGAGCGGAGAAUCGGGUUCUGCUAAGCAGAAAAGCCUUCUCUAAUGGGUCGAUUCGAAAUUGGAAUGGAGUUUGAGGCUAGUGGAGCAAGCAUGAAUAAGAAAAGGAAAAAGCCAAAAUGAGUGGAAAGAAAUUCAAAGCUAAGCCACCACCACCGAAUAGAACCGACGAGUAAUAUCCUGUCCUUCCCUACCUACUGUAUUCAAGCGAACAAGUGUGUUAAGCGAAUCACUUUCCGCCAGUGGUACGCACUACAUGAAAUCAAUGCCCAGACCACUAUGUGCGUAAUCUAUAUAUCUAUCCUUAUUGAUUUCUUUCGCCUAUGGAGUUUUAGGGUAUUGCGAAGCUUCUCACUGGAAUAGACUCGAGAUUAAGCACAAGAGACGCUUGGGCCUAUUACAGACAGGCUCGCAAGCUUAACACGAUGAGAAGGUUCCCCACUUAACCCUAGUUUUCGGGUAGAGUAGUGGUCGCCAUGCGCCCAUCGGUUAUAGCCGCUCGCUAGUUGGGGGCAGGAGACAGCCUUUAAGAGAAAGAAGGUCUACUGGCCCGGUACGGUGUGGUUUUGUUGGAUUUCUCCGUCCGCGUACUUUCACUGGCCUUUUGAAUCGAUCCUGAAAGACUCCCCCAAAAAUAAAUAGAAGGUUAUCCGCUUCUCCGCUGUUUAAGCUCGAAAUCUGAACUUUCACAACCACCAACAGGAAGACAAGUCAGUCAGUAUGGGAUCAAAAAAAGUCUUUUUCUAGUCAAGUUCCAGCUCUAGAUAGGGAAGGACGACGAAAACGAGUUUACUUUGAGGUAAAAAAGCCGACGGUGCCUAAUCUCCUCGGAUAUCAUCGGCCAUCGUUCUCAUCGAUGCGAUGACCAGACAUGUCACACCAUCCCUCGCUGCCCUAACUCACCAAUCCCUAGCAUCUACCAAAGUGGUAUCCUCUCACGGAGGCUAGUAAGUAGGCUUUUCUCAUAUUUGUCACUCUCCACCCAGUCCUCCGAUGGAAGGGGUACUAUCCAAUUGUAAGUAGCUUGAUUACUGUCUGGCCUUUAUCCCUUGCUCAUAAAAAACGGAUAUGGGAAAGGUUGGUGAAAGUGUAAACUAGUGACCUCGAAAGAUAGGUGGGCCAUAUCCAGUCCAGAAUGCAUUAGACUAACUGCAUUGGUACCGAAACAUCUGAUCAGGCCGUCUGGGGUAUAUGAUAUGACAGGUCGUUGUACUAAUGAUCGGUAGGUGGGACUGAUACCUAACUCGGGUAUCUAUCCCUGUGGAGGGCCCCCAUUCAAUGAUCAGAUAUGUCCAUGGGAUUAGGUAUGAAAUGGGCCAUACCAACUUGUUGCUUGAACAAGUCCUAGUGGUAGGGCUCCUCAUAUGGUUAGCCUCCCUGACCCGUAGCGUAGAUUGUGGAAUGGGAUUGGGAAUCUAUUUUAGUAUUAACCGAAUUUAGGAGGGGGUUCCAAUUCAUAUCCGAGCGUUGGUGCACUUCCCAUCUGUUCCCGGGCUUUGACGUAAGGCCUGUAGACCGAGCCUCAUAUCCCUGACUUCAGAGUCCUACGGUCUUCUUUCUUCUCCCUAAUUCUCUGUGAGAACGAAUCUUAACCCUUGCUUGGUCUUUUUCUUCCUCCUGACUCUCACUUGGAAGCAAGAGAUGAAGACGUAAGCCUUUGGAGUCAUAAGUUGUAGAUCUUCAAUGGCUGAAUCCGUUGUUCAAAUAGCAGCUGCUUGGGCUUACCUUAUUACCUUAGUUCCUUAUAGCUUGAGAGAUGGGAAUUGAAUUAGACAAAAAAGAAAGAAUAGGCCGCUAAUUAGUUAUGCCCUGGGGGAAUGCCCCAAAGCCCCUAUGACUACUCCUUUCGAACUUCUAGCAAUAGCAAACUCGCCCCACAAAGUGGUCCAAUUCUUGUGUUUAAUGUGAAGCUUGGCUUAGGCAAAGCAAAGGGGAAACCAAUCCAAGAAGAACAAUCCGGAUGAGUGGCGAUUUGCGACCUUCUGCCUCCACUGCUUCCACUUCAACUUCUCCUACACUGAUUAGUCUAGUUUUGUUUGCCCCCGGAGAGUAUCACCGUGAAUUAUUAGUCAUAUAUAUCAGCCAGAGAAGCCUGUGACUCAUACACUAUCAACCAUAGUGUAUACCAGAAAGAAACUUCGUCUAACACCAGAUCUUGUUGAAGCUCAGCCAGGACCUGAAAGAGAUCAGUAAACCAACGCUUCUCCCUCUCCAGACUCAAGCCAUGAUCCAGUUCCAGACAACAUGCCUGAGGUAGGCCAUUAUUCCUCUCGUCCUGUUCAAGGCUUUGCUCAAGAAUAAAUAUUGGAUAGAUUUGGAGGAAACCUUAACUUCAGUUUGUGAAGAUUAGGACUUUACUGGCUAUUGCUGCAUCAAAGAAGUGGUCCCUAUACCAGUUAGAUGUUCAAAAUGCCUUCCUACACGGAGAAAACAUUGCAUUAGUAGGAUCCACCCCAUGUGAUCCGUCAUUCAGUGCAAUAAGAGGGCCCAUAGCAAUGAAUGUUUAAAUAAGAUUCACUUCGUUCUGUACGGGAUAAGGAGCGAAAAGCGCAGCAUGGCAAUCGGAGACAAGUCAAGUUCAGUAAGAAAUUGGAUAGAUAGAUUCGUGAGUAGUGUAAUCAUAAAAGCCCACGGAGCGGUACGAGACAGGCAAUGGAUAUUGUUCGGGGUAGGACUAUUCGAGGGGCAAGGCAAGGGAAGGCUAGAGCUGACAAGCGAAUACCUGCUUCCCGUGGCGAGCAUAAACCUUUGGCUCGUUGGUUCAUACUCAAUCUGACUUCUUCCGGAUCGACUUGAUGAACAAGAGCCAGCGGUCCAUUACCGUAGUCCCUGACCUUCUCAAGCCUUACCUUAACGUAACAGCACCCUCUGACCUUCACAAUAAAAACAGGGUUUAAUCAAAAAUACCGGGAAGUGUGAAAUAAAUUGAUUGAAAAAAGACUCGGUCAAUCGAAAACAGGUUUUAAUGAAAUUUCACAUAAGAGAGAAAACUCUUCCCAUUUUGAUUGCUGUCUUCCGAGUGAGAAACCAUUUUCAUUAUUUUACACAUAUAGAAGAAUAAACAAAAACAAAUUAAUUAGAAAUCAAUAUGAAUUGCGGCUCUCCAACUCGUCUAUACAUAUUAGGCUAUGAUCUGUGGCUCGCUCUUUCCUCUUCCGGUUCAAUAUAUCUUAUAGUAAGGAGUAGAUCCAGUUUUCCGGUUGGGGUUGGGUCUUGCCUUUCCCCAUGCAUUCAUAGCGUUCGUUGUUUUGUACAGCUCGGUCGAGCCUUAGACGGGGCGUGAACCUUAUAGAACCCCCUUAUAAAGCUCCAGGUUGUGGUGAUCCCUGCCUUCAUCCAUAAGAGAGAAGCGCAUCCGCCCCUCAUUCACUAAGGUAUCCAAAAUCCAGAAUCGCAUCUCUCAUGGCCAUGCGGUAGUAGCCGGACCUGAACCUAGCCUUGAGGCUGAUCGCAGGGCAUUCCUAAAUUUCCGCUAAUAAAGCGAAUCCCGUUCCAUAAGAUGAUGAUCGUACUCCUUCCUUUUCGACUACUCCUCUUCUCCUUUGGUCAGGCAAGUUAGAGGCUCCCUUCCGUUGUUGCCUGAUGGGAACGUUCUACCAGUGUUCCCGCUGCCUAUAUACCUAUCUAUAGUGUAGUGAUGGUGUAGCGCGUUAGGGAGAUCAGUCUCAUCCAUAUCAAUAACCAAUGUAUCUGCUAUGAGUGAAUCUACUCCGGCUCUGGGUGAAACAACCACUGCGAUUGCCUUUGACCAUACCUUUACCUAUGCCUAUAUUCAUAUCUUCCAGUAGCAGAUCCAGAGUGAGUAGUUGCUUCAGUAGAGCCGGUUGAUUCCGGCGAUUCUGUUGAUGAAAGCAGUCAAUGAAGAAAGACAUGGUUGAGUCAGUCGACCGAGCAGUAGAUUCUGUCGAUUCAGCAAAAGUAGAUCUAGAACCAGCUUCCCCACCACUACCUCCACCAGCAGCAUAAGGCCUAGUUCCAAAUCCUCUAGCAGCAAAGGUAGUAGAGCAGCUGCACUACCUAAAGUAGCAAAGCAAGUAGCGGCAGUGGAAGUCACAGUAGUUGUAGCAGAGUAAGCUAGAGCCAGAAGCUUCCCACCUACUACCAUCUUGCUUAGAUAGAGAGCCAGUUCUCGUCAUCCAUUUAUAUAGGCGCCACCUUGCCUAGCAUCUCUUACAGUUCGUAUAGCAGCAUACCUUCCAUUUCGAGAUCCAGAGCAUCCACUUUCAAUUCGGAGAACCAUUUCGUGAGCCAUAGCCCGUAGAUAAAGGGAGGCUGUUCCUUAGGGUGGGUUGGGAAAAAUCCAGGCAAUGUUGAAUUGAGAAAGAAAUGAAAAGGGGAUUUUUUUCUUUCGAUUUUUUUGUCCUUUCUUUUUCGACUAUCUACUCUCCCCGGCUAAGCCGGCAAGAGAGAGUGAGGAGGUCGUUACGUGAGCGUUACAUGACCGCUAACAUUCCAUUUCUUAUGGAAGGAGAAGGGAACGCCCUAUUAGUAUAGUAAGCAUAUCGAGGCGCAGGUAGGAAGCACAUCUGGCCAUUUGAAAUGCAUUUUUCUUAAAGCAAGAAAGAAGACAGGACAGACAGACUCAAGACAGACUUGAUCAAUCAAGUCAGCAAACUCAAAGCAUGAGUUCUACCCUUUGAUCGCUAAUCCAGUCUCUACUGGUCUGGCUACUAAAGAAAUAGUGUAGAUAGUGGCGUUUUGCUCCAUCCCCUAGACGGCGAAGCUGCUCCGCUCCUUUCUUCUUUUUUUCUGUCUCUGAAGUGAGUGAAGUAAAGUAAUAGCCCCCACUACUCUCAUUGCCUAAAGCCUCAAGUUGGAGCUUUCCCCGGUAACAAGAGUAGAAAGUGGUUCUUACCUCCCCCGAUGAUCUAGCUUGUCGGUCUGUGUCCUUUGGCCCCCUAUCUCUAAUCUAAAGGGGCGUAAGCACUAGCUGCCCUAAGAAGCAGGUCCCACUCCGUCCAAAGCUUGCAGCUAGCUCUUUUUCACUUUAGAAUAAUACCUUUGGAUAAAUCCAAUUCUUGCUUGCUGGACUAUUGUGGUCUCACUAAAUACCAUACUCUUUUCUUUUAAAAUCUUCGUAGGCAGGGACUCUCGCCGCGACCCGGAUAAUGCUUCCUUUUUGACGAUGCCGGAUCGAUGCCAAUGCCCACCUCUUUGGGGAGCCAACGAGUCCACCCAAAUUCUGUACUGAUUCGCUCGCUUUGUCCACCUUCGCCUCUUCAAGUUGGCUCCUUCUCGAAAUGACUAAAGUCUGACCAAGACUGGUCCUUCGUAGUUCUUUCGCCUUAUCAGGCUCGUAGAUGGCUCUUGGAACUAGUGGUUAACCAUUUCUACGCGAGACCAUCGUUUAUUAAGAAUGAGGCUUUUCCUGGGCUCGUACGAAAGUCUCUGUGAGUAGUUCCCCCGGCUAGACCAGUGCCAAUAGUUAGAGUUUAUACUCCUUUUUCAGGCCUUCGCCUUAGUCCAAAGGUAUGAUUAUGUAAAGAAAAGAAUUCGUUACAAAUAAGGUCAAGCUAGCUGGCUCAUAACCUUGAGAGGGAUCAAAUCCUAUUUCGGGAGCUGCCUUUACACCGGUAUUCAAAUAAGCUGCUGCAAAGAAUGAGAAGUGGGUCUCGCUCUCCUAAUCAGUCGUUAGCUUAUCCAUCUCUCUUUUUAUCCGGGCUUCUUCCGCUUUAGCUGAGGCCGAUGCCCCUAUCUUUCUUCUGAUCCGCCCCUAAACAAUAGCAAUAGCACGAAUCCUAAGCUACGGCACGCGAAGGAAUGGUUCCAUGAAUCAUGGGUGGAGGCGACAGGGGGAUUGGCUGGCUUACUAUGGGGAAGGGGAGAAUCACUAAAAAAAGUCUAGAGCUCCCCUAGGGAAAGUAUUCUACCUCGUUGGACCGUAUUCGCUACUAAAACGUAGCCCUCCUCCGCCUUCGUUUGAGGAAGCAGGUAUUCGCCUACGAGGUCUUCACAUAACAUAAUAGGUUGCAAAAAUCCUUAUUAGGAAGAAGACUUGGACAAAUCCCCGGUAGAAUUAGCUAGCAAGGCUAGGCACCUAAUGCAUGUGAGGGUAAAGGAAGUCUCUUUGGCACGUAUGAGUAGCAGAGCGGAGUAACGGGGCAAAACGAUUCGACAGUGGAUGCCGCUUGAACUAAAGGACUGAGCAAUGAAAAAGGCAUUUAGGCCCGAGGUCAAAUCUCAUCUUAGUCAGAUCAUAAGAUAUCCCACGAGAAGAUGUUCUCGAAUAGGCAGGCUGUGAGGCAACUAUGGAAUCCGCCUUCCCUGAUUCCGAUGCUGUUGAGCGGCGGCUGGUAGUGAAAGGAACUGACGAUCUUGGCUUAGAUGGCUUUGCUCCUGGGGAACAUCAUUUAUCGAUAGUCAAGGUACCCGAAGUUUCAUGAGCAGACCAUUAUAAACAUUCGCCGGAAAGAUCCGAGUAUAAGGAAAAAAUUACCUGAAUAUAUGAGUCAGAGUAUAAUGCCUAAUAUUUUAUACUACUUCUCUUUUUACGGCCUGUGAUACCGGAGCCUCAACAUCCCUUGGCCUAAAGAGGAUUGCAGACCAUAGGUUGUUUCAGGCAAAUCUCAGCCACAUCAAUUUAAAAGUUUGGGUCACGAUAGUCAGUGUCUUGGGAAGAAAGAAGCCUUCCUUUGCUUGCUUUGGGCCUCUUCCUUAAGCAGCCAUUCAUAUCGUGUGGCCCCUUCGGAGAGGUCAUAGAGAUCAAGGAAAACCUCCCCCACAAACUUUGCUACGCCCUUAACUCUUGAACUACUUGAACAAGGAAGGCGGGGGCGCGUCUGGUGCUAUCAUAUAUAAGGGAAAGGUUCCUUUAGUGAUCUAUGCCUUAUAUAUGCCUUCCUCACUCCUAAAAGGAAAAGACCUAGCCUAAUCAGACAAUAACAUAGUAUAUUUACUUUUUAGCGUUCCUACACAAAUUUAUGUACUUUCUAUAACUUAUAACAAGGCACACCAUUUAACUUACCGUUACCGUGUAAUACAAUACAGUAGUAAAUAGCUUGUGAUUCGGAGUUGUCGACCCGUCAUUUCCAGUCGAGUCAAGCAUCUCCCUCUUCAUCGCAGUCGCUCAAGACGUUGUAUCGAUGGAGUGAGAUCAGGGCUUCUCCCUCUACCCGAGCGAGGGAUCAGUAAGCAACCGGGCGAACCACAUCUGUUCCAAUUCCAGAGGCUUUCUCCGAUCGAAGUCGGAUCCAAUGGCCAAUCUUCGAUUCCUCCCCGGAAUCGGUUUUUUGCUCGGGCUGUAAGGCGAUGGUUCGAAGAUUUCGAUGCCCGGUCAAUGAAGCGAGAUUGGGAAUGAGCAGCUAACCAAUCUCAUUUAUAAGAUCAGUCCAGCGGUUCAAUUCAUUGAUUCAUCUAUCUAUCGGAUUAGUAACCCACCCCGAUGAAUCUUUUGUAUCGAACGAAAGCCUCAUAUAUAUUAUAUCCCCCUACCGGAAGCGAAGCUUCUGGCUCCCCCUUUGUUGUUGAAUUUCCAAUUCCUUCUUUUCGUUCUACUUAGGUGGAGCAAUCCGAACUCUCGACAGAAUAUAAAAGAGCGUCUUCGAACCUGUGUAGACACCUCAACGAACUCAUGUGGACACUCCUCAGCCCGAGCCGAGGACAAUCUCUCUAAAAUACACAUUAAGAUGUUGACCCGUUUUUCUUUUCUUUGCUGAUUCCUCUCAAUUAAAUUUCCCAUGUUGCACUAAGUUACUUACGUAUGUAUGCAUGCGGUCCGGGAACACUUUGGGGUGAACACCCAUCCGAACAAGUAGGGUCAAUAGUUCAGCAUUUAGGCCGUAACAUUUAGCAACAAAAAAAUCUUUAACCCAACAAGUGCUCUCCGAACCAAGCUAGAUAGUCUCCUAUCACUAGGCUCACCAACCAACCUGGACUUUGAUUCUGAUUAUUCCUACCAAACCAUAAGGAUUGUUUCCAGCCAUGAGUUCCCAUAUUACAUAAGCGCUCUUGGGUGGGCCAUUCCAUCAAAUCUUUGAGAAGGGGCCCAAUCUCGUAUUUGAUGGUCGGCGUGGCGAUAGGCUUCGCUUCUACGACUGCCUCCCCAGCCGUUGCAAAGACUGAGCGAGAACGGUAAGGGGCGAAGAAUGUCGUUGCGCGGGGAUGCGAUUAGCCAAGCUGGGGCAAACAAAGCCGUCCGGCCCCCUACCGGAUUGGGAAUGCGAAGGCCUUUCCUUCGAAAGGAGACCGGGGAAAUAAAGAGCUAUGCUAUUGACCGACCCUUUCGUAGUGACUUCGAAUCAAUAGUCCUAUACUUUUUUCUCAUUUUGUUUGAGGCGGGCCGAAUAGAGAAUGAAAUGAAGAAAUACGGGAAGAGUUCCAAACCUUUUUUUUGGUUUAAGGGCUGCUCGCCCUACCGAAGUACUAAAGGCUUUCGAGGCUUACACCUCCCUAUUACACGACAAAAAGGUAGCUUGCUGUAGCGCCCUUAGAAGAAAUCUAAGCCUUUUGAAGCGCCAGUAGUGGUAGCUGUGGGUAGGGCUUUCGUUCUUAUCGCUCCGGGUUUCUAUCUAUAUGACCUCCGGGCGGUACAAAGUACACCUCUUCCGUAGAGGCAGGUAGUAACCUAACCUUUAAGAGUUCAAGGGGGGAGCCCUCUUAUCUAUCAAUGGAAAGAUCUCCGUGCGUGGCGUGAUAAGGAAUCCUAGAAAAGAUCGAUUGAGACUCCCUCCCCGGUCCCACGAAGAUCUCUACGUACUUGUCCAGUCCAGGACAACUGAGAUCUUCCGGUCUGCGUGCGUGGGAGCAGCUCAAAUAAAGAAGAGUCUGGUCUGAAUUCAGGCCCGGCCCGCCCGUCUGCUGCUAGAUCCGGGAAUGGCGCCAGGCGAGGGCGCCGCUAUGCCCCGCAGCUCUGCAGCGGCCGGCCCCCGGACUAUGCAAAAGAAUCGAGGCCGGGGGGUCUCGCCCAUAGUGGUUCCCCCCCGCCUUUGGUGAUUGACCAAACAAAGAGGCCUAGAUCUAUGCCCCUUAAUGAAUCGAAUGGUCCUUCGACCCCUUCAUUUGAUUCCGACGGCCGGCAUAGAUCUCAUGAGACCCGCCCACUAUUACUACGAAAAAAGCCCUGCCUUUUUCCUUCGCUACUAGGAGAGUAAGCAACUUCUAUUAGCGCCGGACCUUGAGUCGAAUUGAUCGUGUCAUGUGCAACGUCCAUCAAUGAUGGUUCAUUAAUGUCCAUUGAUUUAGACUCCUUCCCCCUUCCCAACUACGAAUAAGAUCGAGAGGAGCCCGAAAGCCCCAAAAAACCAAGAACGAAAACGGAAGCCUUUCGAUUCACUCCCCAUUCUCUCUUAAAUAAAGCUCGCCCUCGAGCCCUGGGCAGGUCGGCCGGGUCUUUCCCUGUUGUUCUGUUCCCGCCACGAGAAAGACGCACAGAAGAGGUAUGCCCAGCGCGCGGAGGAUCCGUUGAGAGUGUCUGUUGUCUCGGUAGGGAACUUUACGAUCUUUUCCCCUAUUGUAUUGAAUCAAUAAAAAAAAAGAGGUCAGUGCUACCUACGGCCCUCUAUUGUUUGAUCCAAUAUUGACCGGGGACGAGCCCCUACUUCCAUAGGUCCUUGGUUUGACCUCCCGUAGUGGUCCUUGCUUUUAAUAAAGCGGAGCGGGGCCAAUUUCUCGUACUUGCUCAGCGGUCAGCCCCCUUUCGAAUUACGUUAGGGGGGGGUCUUUCGCUUUUGCCAGAUCUAGAGAGAUACUACGAGUCCUCCGUCCCAGAUUCCAUCGCCGCGGCCAUCUGGUUCACCGGUACUACCAAAAAGUCUCAUGCUUACGUUACUACUGUUACGGAUGGUUUGAUUAUCUUGGACCCCGGUCGGUCGUGCUUCUGGUUUCCAUUCCCAUCAUCAUAUUGAUGAUAAAUCUCCUCGCGCUCUGCCAUAAGAACUUGGAGUCCGUAUCAUGGUGAAGGUAAGGUAACGCUGUGAUUCUUGCUCAAAAAACAGACCGAACGCGUUCGAGUUAUUGGCUCGUCCAACCCGGCAGCAUUCAUGAGUCGCUCGUUCAACUGUCCCUCGGAGACACGGUCGAGAAGUACCAUGCAUGGUUGCCCCCCGUCCUUUCUUGCUCUCGGUCCCACCCAGCAAGAUAAGGCUCAGCCAAAAAACGUGAGCGCCCCUGCGCGAGCCUUAUUUAUUUUCUUAGUAAAGUCAAGCUUUGGCUCCCUAAAGACUAAAGAAAGAUAUGGAUAAAAAAAAGGGGGGACUUCUGCAACGGGCUAUACCACCCAAACCAACUGAGGGAAGUCGCAUCCGCCCCAUCGCAAGCACCUACAAUGUCAUGAUCACAUUGGUUUACCCUUUUUUCUUUGGUAGUUCAACGGACGGUCGCCCCUCCAACAAGAAAAGGUAUAAAUAUGGAAACUUCUCUGCCAUUUGGAUCGGAGAAUUUAUGGAGGAAAUCGGCUUUUAAAUUUCCAGAAACCACACGAUUAUAUAGCCAAAGGGAAUACGCCGCGCCUAAAAUCAUCCCAAGCGCUGCUAAUGUGGCUACUAAGCUAUUUCUUUGGAAAGCUCCUACUGAGAUGGGAAAUUCCCCGAUAAAGCUGCUAGUACCAGGUGAACUCAUAUUGGCCAAAGUGGAAGAGAAGGAAAUGGUAGAGAGAUUCGGCAUGGUGCUCACUAACCCUCCGUAAUAUCUAACAAGUCGAGUCUUAUGUCGGUCAUAUAGAACACCAACACAUAGAAAAAGGGCUGAAGGAACCAGUCCAUGACUUAACAUCGGUGGAAUGCUACCUCCAAUUCCCUGUAUGUUCGAUAGAGCCAAAGAUUCCCCCCCACUGAUCGGAGUACGCCGAUUACCCCCCGAACCGUACAAGAUAGUUACCGCCUAUCAUACGGCUUUCUAACUUCACUUUUUUUUCUGGUCGUUCCGCUCUGUCGAUCGAUGGUAGUAUAAGAGAUCUGAUCUGUAACCCCCUACAUUUUUUACAUAAAGGUUCCUGCUUUCUACCCAUAGUUAGCAUGUAUCUCCCCGGGUCAUACUUUUGAGUAUCACAUCGUAGACCCCCACCCCAACUCUAUCUUCCUUAGAAGUGAACCGGAAAUAGUGCAUAGGUACUUUUCAAUGCUGCGGGGACGAGACGACGUGACAUACUACGAUCACGUACAGAAGUGCUGCCCUUCAGCUCGGCAAUAUGGAACCUCUCAACAGCUCCCGUUCCUUUAUGAGGUCCUAUCGGGAUAGGUAGGCCCAGCCCAAGCCUUUCCCCUCCCCCCUGCUUAGCGUUCCACUUGUGAUCCUGGAUGCAGUGGAGGAUUGAAAAAAAAGCGCCCGAAUGUUCCCCCUCCCUCCAUAAGACCCUCUUUCUCUUUCCCCCUCGAGAAAGAGAAAGAAGAGAAGAAAGGAUUUAUUAUCUUCUUUCAUGUGAACGGCCCUAUCUUGUAUCGAAAGGUUUUUCGUGCUAUACACCACGUUGAGAAAGACCAGCCUCCGUAGUACCGUACCUUUUUUUUACCCCGAAAGGGAGGUCCUCCUUAUGAUGCUACGGACGGCUGUCCGAAGUGCAAGGGGUAAACUCGGACGAGGAUAGGAUUGCGCGCGCCGGGCCCUCCCUUCGGGUGUCAUAUUUUGGCCGAGUUUACCGUACCUCCGGCCCUUAUGUUACGCGACCGUAAUCUUUUUUUACGUUCCACCGCUGUUACGCCAGAAAUAAAAGGUUCCACACGAGCUCCCGUUCUGCGGCGUGGUGGCAGGACCGAUAGGAGAUUGGCUCCGGGUGUAGAUAGGGUAAAAUCCGCAGGAGUCAUGCAAAUACAUAGGCCCCUUCCCCUCUCUUUUAGAUGAAUGGGGUGGUUUUAUAACGUUCCGAUCUACGGUCCCUCGGAGCGAGGGGUUAGGCAGGUAGUAUGGGCCCUCUGACUUCCAGCUAUGUGUUGUGCGGCUCCCGCGAAGCGAAUGAAGGGAAGCUCGAAGAGCUUACGCUUACUCUCAGCCUCUUUGAUUGGUAGGCGGGCGGGCCCCCUACUUAAGAUUCCAUUCAUAAGGGUCAUUUUCUGUUGUCGUGACGCUUUGGUUAGGCCGACUACUAGACUACUAGAGGUUACUUCUAGCUUCUAUAGGGGCCUUUCCACUUUGGUGUAGUUUUCGUUUGUAUUGGUACUGAAUGAACAUAUCAAACAAAGGCGAGCAGUAUAAGCCCUUCUCCGGCCUGGGAAAAGCAGCGAACUCUAGAAGCUAGGGCGUUGUUCACCUUUGGACACGAACACUAUUCCGUUCUCAGCGUAAACCCGCCUUAGAGAUUGAACGGCAAUAAGAUAAGUCGACGUUCAAUCUAAGACAGCGCUGAUAGCUUGUAGUGAACAGCCCCCUUAUUUACCAUUUACCAACCGAAAGCAGCCUUUGGUACUUUACUUAAGUAGUUCAGGUUUGGAACCCUUGCAACUAUGAUAGAAAGCCGUUUGCUUGUUGCCAAACCCUUCGCCUUUCUUUUGUUUUGAAUCAAAGUAGGUCGCGACUGUUGUAUUUUUGUUUAGUAGGUCGGGGGAAGCUACCGCUUAUACGACAGCUCUGCUUCCUCGUCUUGCUUCUGGCAAAGCUUCGACUUUGCUUGCUUCUCUCGCGCUUGCUUGCGCGAAGGCUUAUAAAGUCCUUUUCGCUAGGUCCAAAAGCUUCCGUCAAAGCGAAAGAUCUGAUCCAACUGAAAUCCCGCAUAUCCGCUGCGCUCAAUAUGCGGCUACGGCUAGGCGAUCAUAUCGUGCCAUAAAACUCUUUUUUAUGUAUAGAGAGAUCCCCUAGAUAUACAGAUAGAAUAGAUGUUCAUGGAUAGACAGACAUUCCAUUGAUUCUUAGUUUUGGGGCUGAAAAAGCUCGUCGAUCCAAAUGAAUCAUUCUUGUGGUCUCUCUUCGCCCCCCGCCCCGAAACUGACCCACAGCACAGCGCCCAUUCGCUUCGCGCGCGGGAAGGCAACGAAGUUCAGUUCAUGAGACCGCGGCGGAGUGGAGCAGCCGCGACACGAAGUUCCUUACCUUAGCUGGAUAUCGCUGGUGCCACCUAAACGGUAAGUAGGCGACGGAUGUGUGACGUUUGGAGUUGUCGUUCGUGCACCUGUCCCCAAUGGAAGAAUGAGUGAUCCGUUCCCCUGCGGAUCAUGGCCUUACCACUCGGUCCCCGAUGGCCAGCGGGGGAUUCGGUAUAGCAGCUUACGUUUUUUUGCGCUGCGCGUUCCCGCUGGACUGGACACGUGUUAGCUUUAGGAAGUAUGGUUCCGAAAGUGACUUCGGUUCGCCAGUUCAGGCUCAACUCCUCGCUUUACGUUAGCGGACCUACACUACAGGUCGGGCCGGGGCUCUGCGCUCUUUCUUUCUGUGUGGGACGAUGCCGGGGAGAGAAGGGAAUGCGUCGAGGCGGCGAACAACAACAACACAACUACAUUUUGGCUUUUCCCUCCAUCCAUGAGAUGAGCCCAGUGCAUUGGACCGAUGGAUAAGAGAACUGAGCUGGCCUAAAGCUUGGGCACUCUACGUACGAUGUAGACUCCAUCAGAUACAUAUCGAUUUCUUUCUGAUGGAUCAAGAAUAGUUGUCUUAUCAAUAGAUAGAAAUAGGAGAUUUCCCCUUAUUCUUGAUGGAUUCCCUCUAUUUCAUAGAUACUCUUUCGAUCUAUCAGAACGGAUCAGGCUAUCUAUCAAUCGAUUUGAAAAUAGCACGUUCAUCUCGCUUUUCGUUCAUUUCCGCCACGCCAACAUAGCCACAAUAAUAAGAAGCAAGCAGGCGAAGCAGCUAGAAGCGCUCGCUUCUAGCCCUUGAAUUCUUAUUCACGAAUGAAUUGGGAAAGCCAACACAAAGAUUCGAUUCUGACUUCGUAGAGCCGGUGCUGCUGUUGCCUGCGCGUAGGGUGUCCCCCACCCCCGUCCCGGGGCGCUAAGGGGCUUUUGUUUUUGGAACAGACGGCAAUGUUUUGCUGACGCCUUGAAUCAAGUGUUGCGACAUGCUAUGUUUUCUCCCCCAUUGCUAGUAGGUUGAUGGGUCGCACGCCCGGCACACAUGUUUUGGCCUUGUCUUGUGUGUCCAUAACUAAAAAUAGGUGACCUAACGGCCGCCGCCCGACUAAACAUACCAAUAGUCACCAGAUUCAUAUGGGCUACUGAGGAGUAAGCAAUGAUCUUCUUAAGAUCGAUCUGUCUUGAAGUGGUCAAGGAAGUAUAUAUUAUAGCAAUCGCGCUUGGAGUAUAAAUGAAAGGAGUGGAACAAAGUGUUGCUUCGGGAAACAUGGGUAUUGAAAAUCUUAAAAACCCGUGGGUUCCCAAUUUUGAAGGAAUUCCUGCCAAGAUGACGGAUCCUGCCGUAGGUGCCUCUACAUGAGCUUCGGGUAACCAAAUAUGAACAGGUACCAUAGGCACUUUGACGGCGAAAGCGGCGAAAGAAGCAAUCCAUAGAAAGAUUUGGCGCCGCUCACUAAAUUCUGUGGUUAAUGAUAUUUGUAAAUCGGCGGUCCCUGUUUGGAAAAGAAUCAACAGAAUAGCUAAUAGCAUAAAAACAGAUCCAAGUAAAGUAUAAAGGAAAAACUGAUAUGCUGCCUUGAUCUUUCUUUGUCUCGAACCCCAUACCCCUAUAAUAAUGGUAGAGUAAGGGGUGGCCCCAAAGCGGAAUUUACCGGUGGUGGUUAGUCGAAGCUCCAGUAGGUAGCCACUCCCUUCUCAGGGAACCGUACGUGAGACUUCCGCAUCAUACGGCUCCGUCCCGAGCUUCCGUCGUCGGCCCUUGUCAUUAGACCACUAUCUAUGCAUGUAUAUUAAGCCUGGACUCUCGAAUCUUUUGCUUCUCGGGUGGUGGCGAACAAUGCAGCUUGCGUUGCGGGAGAUGCCCGCCGGCCCGCUUCUCGCCCGAAAGAACCGCUCACUAGCUAGCCGGACUAGUGGGGGGCCCUAUCUGGAGACAGACUGAAAACCAUGCCUUUCGAACCGAACGCAACGCCCGUCUUCCAAAUCCAAAACAAAAAAGGGCUCGUUGGGAAGAAAGAUGGAGUGCGGCCUGUAGAGCACAUGUAACGCACAGUCGGUUGCUCACGCAGUGGAUCUCUCUCUAGAUAUCUAGAGAGAGAGAUGUGAAAGUAAUAGCCUUUUUUUUGAUGGCCGCCCCCCGACUUACGGCUUUACGCUACUACUACUGUGAUGUGAGCGGUUCCAAUUGGUUUUUGUUUCCCAAUUCUCCUGGCCGGAACUUGUAUGCAGCACUUAUACGAAGGUGCAUGCAUAAAGGUUUGGAACUCUUUUCUUAUCUUAAUCUUAAAGACAGGACCCUACCCUAUUCUCGAACCCUCUACCGAGCUUAACCCUGCCCGCAUUUCUUUUUUUGAAGGGGGGCAAAGAAAUGUCUCCACCUGCUGCCAACAGUCUUUCUUCGGAAUUCUACUGAACGGGUCGAUCCUCCCCUCCCGUUUGUUUUAGCAACUUAUCCUAAGGUCUCCUCACCAAGAGCUCCCCGGCGACGACAGAGGAAGCAACCCGCCUGCUGUGGCGGGGCAGCUUUUUUUUUCACAAUAAGACCUGGACGAUUAUCCCUACCCUCGGUAGCUUACGAGUUUACGUCCAUCCCUGGUUGGGUACAGUUUCCUUUCGAUUUCUCCCUUGUAGCCGUUACCCGAAUUCGCGCAAGUGUGUCCACACCCCCCAAACUGACUUGACGAGGAAUCCAUUCUCGCGAACAAACACAACCCCUACACACACCUAGGAGCACCCCUUCCUGCAUAUCCAUACAAGACCCGAGUAGGCGGGUCGAGGUCCUACGAGGUACCCACUACUCGGAGUACCCUCCCCAAAAAAGAUGUGUCUGUCAGGUUCGGUUCGUCUUAGUUGGGUUGGGCGGGUUCGACCAGAAAUGCUAUGCUUACGCACAAGACUACCCCUCUUCCCGAAAGCUUCGCGGGGACUACUUUACGACGGACGACCGCCCGUAGGGGGUUUACUGCACAAGGCCCCUGCAGAGGAAAAGCUUUAUCCCAGCGAAUAGAAGAUGCUCAGCUCCGCACAACAUAGGGAUUAGCACGCUUUCGGGAAGAACAUAGAAUAGUAGAGGAUCCAGCAUGCGGAACACGGCGAUCAUUAGAAAUUCACGAAUUAGAGAUGCUGUAAUAUACUCUUUCCCAUAACUUCUCAUACCAGACCAACCCACUAAAAUACAAAUAGGGAUCAGAAAUGUGGUCAAUAUCACGAAGAAAAAAGAGAGACCGUCUAUACCCAAAUUCAAAUUGAUGUUUUCAUAAGGAAGCCAUCGAAGGCUUUCCACAAAUUGAGAUUUGGCCGUAGAAGGAUCGAAUUGUAUCCGAGGAACAGGGGAAUACAAAAAAGUAAUAAGAGAGGCACACAGACCAAUCAAUCGUAUCGGUCGUAUUCUUGAAUUUGGAAUGAAAAGAGGAAUAAUGCUUCCUAGCACGGGACACAGAAUAGGACCACUUAGAUCAGAAUAGCAUUCACAGAAAUGUUCUAACAUAGAGUAGAAUCGAACAUGGAAGAGAUUAGUUGACAACAGUAAAAAGAUGGGCGCCUAAUUCCAAUACAAUAGGGGUCUAUCAGUGCAAGUCAGCUGAACACCGUGAUUGAUGAGUGGGUAGGUGGGUUAGGUGCGCCUCUCGUCCAGUGGGAAGUAUUGAGGCGAGUCUCCUCCCCCCUUCCUUUUUCUACUUUUCUUCUCUCCUUUUGCUUGUGCUUCUACCCGGGCUUUUCAUUUUUAUAGAUUUCUAGAGACCCGAGGAAAUUUUUAUAAGAUUAAUUGCUCGAUUUUGCAUGCUCUGCUCCCAAAAUGAAGAGAGACUUUCGAGGGCAGAUCCGGGUUGGUCCGGAAAGUCAUGGGAGAGGCGGGCUAAGUGAAAGAAAAAAAAGAUAAAUGGAGCUAUGUCGACUUACGUACGUCUCGUUGACCAAACGAUCAGGUAUACCACGCCACGUAUCAUCCCCUCUUUCUAUAGAGGAGAGAUAAAGAAAAAGAAAAGAUAUAGCGAUCGUGCCGUAAGACCUUGUUCCUUUCUACUUGACGUUAUUUUCCUCGGUUUUUUUACAUUACAUAAGGCCUUUAGUUUAGGGCUUACUUAGCGCUUGCGCUAAGGAUCUAAUCAGAGUCAAACUUGGAUUUGAAAAAAAACCUUUCCCUUAUUAGCCGGAAUACAAACAAGUGUACUCCUUGAUCUUUAGUAAAGGCGGAUUAAGCCAAAAAAAAUCUUUUUUUUUCAAAAAGUCUCAACGUCCUCGUUGAGAGUCGCUCUGCGAGACGUCCAGUAGUCUCUGACUUGGUCUUAGAAUCGUCAGUUUCAGCCCGUUCCCAGCUUGCCUCGCUCUCAGGUUGGCCCUUCUACUUGACUAAGUAGUAUUCUACUCGUGCAGUAGGUGUAUGGGCUAGCCCAUGGUGCGGUCAGCUAUGAUAUAUAUACUCUUUUUCUUUCUUAGUAAGUUAAUCUACAACAUCUGGUGGUGCCCUCGUGGGCUGGGCACGUUCCUCUCUGGGUCGGUCUGGUCUAAUCGAAGUCAACUGACUCACAUGGAAUACGGGGUGAGUUUUAACCGAGCUGAUCGCUUGAGUCUAUAGGCUACCUCUCCUAUCCGCUUCUCUACAAGGUCUACUUUCUUCUUCCUUCAGACCGGGCCAAGCCUUUAGUUUAAGUAGGUUUGGGCUAGGUCGUUGCGCUCCUGCCACGUCUUGGCAAAAAAGUAGGCUGAUGGGCAAGCCUCCUCCUGCCGCAAUGGUGUGGGGCGUCAGAGGCUGUUGCCCCGUGGCCAACUCGAAGGGGCUGAAGUUCGACGCAGAGCUUUUUGGUUGUUAAUUUAUAGCAGCACUGAGCUACAUCCAACAGCUCCAGUCCUUCUGGUUGGUUUGCACUAAAGUGCCUUAAGUAGCCCUCGAGGAGUCCGUUUAUCUCCGUCUGAGCUUUCAAAGAUAUACCGACCGUAGGUAUCUUACUUACCAUCAGAUACCGACAGUCGUCUUCUAACAUUACCGAUCUUUAAAUAUCGGGUUUUCAUCAUCAGAAACAACCCGAUUUCCGAGACCUCUUGCAUUGCAUUACCAUAACGAAAAAAAAGAGAGAAAUGGCUCUUGUGACUCGGAAUGAACCUUUCUCGGUGGAAGAAAGGAAUAGCGAUGGAUUCCUAUGAAGCAUUCAGGAACAAGAAGAUUCAAUCGGACGACGAAUUCUUACGUGGUCCAAGGAAAUCAAUAAAAGGUCCGCUUCCACGAUUUCAUCUAUAUCGAAUCUGAAUAUCAGAAUAGCUUAUAUAGUCAUGAUUCAAUUCAGGUCCACUGACUUUUGAUUGAUUUCUCUUCGGAUCUGAUUGGAACAUUGGAGAAGUAGGAAGACUUUGGCGGGCGAUUCAUAAUGGGUAUCUAGAAUAUCUAUGUCCUAGGACAUAAAAUAUGAAUAAUGAAGAGAAAUGAAAUAUAUAUCUAAUAUAAGAAUUUUUAGGCUUUAUACCUUAUUUCUUUUCCUGGGAUUGUAGUUCAAUCGGUCAGAGCACCGCCCUGUCAAGGCGGAAGCUGCGGGUUCGAGCCCCGUCAGUCCCGACCUAGGAUCCGAUGAAUCGAUCAAUUCAUCUCUGUAGGGGGGCUUAGGAUCUAAUUCCCAGCAGGAGGAUCCUUCUUUCGUUUCGCAUUUCUCAUCGGACAAAUCAAGGAAUCAAAAUGACAAUAACUAGUACCGAUUGAUGGAGGAGAGACAUAUGUAGGUUGGUACAAUCGGGGGUAUCACCAUAUUAAGCAUAUUAAGUAAGGAUUCAAAGAGAUACCGUACAGGUCUGGCUUUUUUCGAUUGUUCCUGGCCCAUCGAAUAGAGUAGCAAUUUCUUUCCCGGGAGCACAUAACAUUUUCUUUUUUUUUACGAUACGCAAUUAACUUAACAUAGUUACCCCCACAGAGUACUUUUCAGAUUCAACCUACCCUUUCUUUCUAGCUCCUAUUUUUUUUCUUCGCUACACCUAUUCUUUCUUCUUCCAAUCAAUUCGAAAAAAUCCAACGUCAACUGCUCUACUCUAAUUCAUAGGUUUUUUUAUUGUAUUGAUCCCGGGAUCUAUCGAAACAAUUGUAUGGGCAUAUAAAAAAAAAAGCAACCAAGUCAUCCCUUAGCACAAGCACUAAGUAAGCAAGCUACCUUUUUUUUCUACUUUUUUUCUAUAAGAAAAAAUCACCCAUCAAAUAUUGAAUGACUGAGCACUCAAAUCCUAUCGCGAGUCUUGAUACAUAGUAUCUUAAGUCCUUUCCACAACUCCUAAUUUGAUUCUCCAUCGGCCCAUCCAAUCUAAUUCACGACUCAGUCAGUAGACACUACACUAGUAGGGUAGUAAGUUAUGUAAUUAGGAAUUUGAAAACCAAAAAGCCCUUCUUGGAUCCUAGGAGCAAGGAUUUACAGUCCUUUAGAACAACCUUUUGAUCCCAAGAUUUCCGGCCCCUUACUUUCGUAUUUUUGAAUCUCACAAUUGAAUCUUACUACCCAAGUCGAUCCUAUUGGCAACGGGCAAACGACGCUUACGCGGGAUCUCGGUGCCCUUCUCUUGCUCUUGAAAGAAUAGAAGUUGAGUUCGAGUUGUUAUCAUGCCGGAUCAGAAAAGUCAAAAGCCAUACUAAGAGCCAGCGGACCUGCUCACGGGAGUCAGGCCUGUUCUGUAGUGGGCAGACGUAGCAGGGCCAUCAGAAUAUAGGAAAAAGAGCCGCUGGAGAAAACCAAUUACGCCGGGUUCUCAAUUCCAUGGAGUAUGUAGUGAGUUUGAAUUGACCCGGUUAGCUAGAAGGUUCCUUUCGCUACCGUCCUAAGGUUAAACCAACCGUUGGUUUGCUUUAACAAGAUUUCACUGAAGUGAACCCGACGCGAAGUUGGUGAAACCUGAGCGUAGCUAAUGAAAGGGACUUAGAUUAGAACCGACUAUAAGCCCUGAGAGCCAGCAAGCAAACCCCCUGACUCUCUCUCUCUAAAAAGCCUGCGUAGUCAACUCCUUGUUUGUUUUCUUUCUGAUAGCUGCCUAGUUAGUUUUUCCAGUUUUCAAGUCAAGCGAGAAAGCAAGUGGAAUAAGACUUUCCUUUUUUCGGCCAUUUCUCAGCAAUAGCUACCUGAAUGGAAGCAAGCAACCUUCGGGGAGAAGAAGAAGAGUGGUCGAAGACUACGAGUCGAAGCUAAGACCAAUCUAAGCCAAUUUCCCUCAGCUGGAAACUAACUAUCUAGAUAGCUUCUUAGCGCUUAGCUACUUUAUUUAUUUAUCCUUCUGCGCCGCUAGCGCUACUACUCCUAGUGAUAGGAAUAACCUACUCUUUUUCGCGAGAAGGCCCAUCUCGGACCGGUGACGUAUUCUAAUGAUCUGGAUCUCUGGCUUAUCUCUUACUUGAUACUUGACGGAUUCGAUUUCGGCUAGUGGGAUUUAAGUGACGAUAAUCAGGGAAAAGGCUUGAUUGGCUCUGAUCGAUACCAUCUAAAAGUGCUUGCUUCAUCCAUUCGUGACAUUACUUGUUAUUCUUACUAAGUUUCGCCUCUAGUGACUCUUGGAAUCAUGCGCAUGGCUCCAUGUCGGCCUUAAUUUGGCGUCGGUGUAACGACCGGUGCAAGUAACAAAUACUACCUACGAGUCUCAUUCUCUCGCAUUCGUUCUUACCUGUCUUCUAUUCUAUUGAUCCAGUUUAGGCAGCUUUCAGUCUCUAUAAACUUGAUGGAAUAUCUCUUUCUUACACAAGAUACGAAGUCAUCAAUCAAUGGCAUGAAGGAGUUAAAUCAGGAACAGAAAGACUUUCAAAGCAAAGGCAUGAAGGCAGGAUAAAUACCUUUACUAAUGUGCAAUCAGCUAGGUAAUACAGUGAGUUAAAUUUCCUGUGCUAGCCAUAAGUAGCAAUGCGGAAGAGAAAGACUAAUUGAAUUCUAUUGCGCUCUAGAGGAGAUAGAGAAUUCAAUUAGUUAACUUUCCCGAAAGGCAAUCAAGGAAAGAAGUAUUGGUAAGAGUUAUGUUAUACUAUUCAAUGGUACGAAGUCACUCGACUCAUAUCGAGAAAGUCAAAUACGAUGACAGACAAAACAAGGGAAGCUGAGAAGGGAUGCCCUCCGCCGAUGGUAGACAAAGUGAAAAGCAGAAUUGCAGUUCAAGAGAAGUUCAAAGAAUUUCUUUACCGAAAGAAGGGAAUUGCUUUCCUCUUUCCCGGCUUGCUUUCUUGGCCCGGACAAUUUCUCUUUACUUGGCUCAGUCUCUUCGAACCUCUACCUAGAGCAUCUUCGAAUCUUGUUGAAUUGGUCUACCCCAUUACCUUAUUGUUUAGUUAGAACCGGAAUCCCUAUACCUAAAGCUACUGAUUCAGAUUCUGUUAUUAAACCUGAGCCUUCUGAAGAGUCCAUGUACCUUUAGCCGGUGGAGCUGGUUCUAACCUCUUCUUUCGCUUACUGCUUUAGGAAUAUCAAGAUUAGUCCACUACUAGAGAAAGAGCCCUUGUCUUUGGCGCCUAGUCUUCAAGUUCUUCUUCAAUGUCAAUUGUAACUAACUUACUCCAAUGCCACCUCGUUCCUAUCUGAUUUUGACAAUACCGGAACAUCCUCUGCGCCGUGCCCUGGAUAUGCCAUUUCCGCCUAACCCGAAUCUCUUGACUGAGCUGCAUUCUUUCCUAACUUUACUUUCUUGUGAUGAAAGAAUUUCCGAGGUAUGCCCUUCUAUCCCGUCUUAGCUUAGUCAGUAAAGCUAAUCCCCAAAGCCUAAGAAAGACUCCUUUUCCAGCUACUCUGGUUCAGUCUUUCCGGCGUCGAGUAAGUACCGGAAUCACUUCUAUAAAAGAAGUAGGAUUCGAACCUACCUUUAUUCAGAUAAACUGAUCGCUCUACCAACUAGCCUUCCGGGUGGGCUUAAGACACUGAUUUGCUAGAUCUAUAUACAACCUUCUUGUAUCAUGGGUUUGAAUCCCAUAAGAGCUACAUAACCAUGUAGCGUUGGGCUUAACCGAGACCAGACAUCUGCUUUUACGGUUUUGUUCGUCGUGACGAAGUGACUGCCUCACACCACUCUUAAGAAUUGGCACCGCACCCUAACCCUCUGGUCACUUCACUUGGCUUUCAUGCCUGACUUGUUGUUAUUUAUACCCCGGUUUCUAACGGUUCACUUCGCUAGCUGCGGUCCCCUACUUCGGUGACCCUUUCCUUGCGGCUUGGCUUGCUUGCUCGCUAAUCAUUGGCUUUAGACAGCGAUUUCUUUGAUGUCUGUAGGAUGAGAGUUAUUGCUUCAUCCGUAGUUCUGCUGAUUUAGGAGUAGGUCUUGGCUCUGAAGGCUUUUCUUCUCGAUGCUUUGUCCUCUAGUCCCGCUUAUUCUAAGUCUAUCUAAGUCUAUGGUAGAGCUAGAGCCCGGGAAGGUUCUCCAUGACAGACGAGAAAGGUUUUUUGGUCCCUUAGUAGUAAUAGUAGUUACUCCCAGCCCCUUUCCUUUACAGAAGAACAAAAAAGUUUAUUAGUUGCAUCCGAGGUUCAAAGCCCUGCUCAUAGAAGGGAUGGAGACAGCUACUUUUAGAAUGAGAGAGGCAUGGACCAAUGGUGUCAAAAAAAAAGGCAUUUAUUUUGUCCAAUCCAAUCACAGCUUAUUCCGCCUACACCUUCUUUGCCGAAAGCCCUUGUCUGUGGCUAUCUUCUACAUUCUCUGCCAUCUUCCGUCAUCCCCUUGAUCGACUGUCCCUAAAGCAAAGAGCCAAUGCCAGCGACUCUUCUAAGCCAUAAAGCUAUG
rnacentral:lncRNA from 1 species